CCAUACCGCGAGCUAGCUGCGGAUAUCAGAAGCAUGCUCUUGCUAUCUAUCGACAUCUCCCUUCUGUGCUUCUGCUUCGAUUUUGGUCGUCUCCGUUCUUCGUAGGGUACCGGUUCUUGCGGAAUCGAAGAGCGGCUAUUAUCGCUAUCGCUCCCAGCGUCGCCUCCACUCCGGACUGGACUUGUUUCGAAUGACUUCGUUGUGAAAGGGCUAUAUGUGUCUUCUACCGGGGUCCUAGGUUUUGAUCUCACGGUAGAACCUGCCACGUGGACUUGUUUGACUUCGUUUAAGAGGAGACGGUGAGAGAGAUGGACUGUCAUCAGUGUCGGCAGGGGUGAGAACACCAAGGUGUAGAAAAGGACGAUCUGAUGAAAGGUGAGCAUUCACGUAAAGUGAUUAUUGGAUAAUUUAUUGCAUGGCAAAACACAUACUGGCUGCAAACGGAUCAAUUUUUGGUGGCGGUGGCCCAUAUCUUCCCGACUUGCCAGGUGGAUUUGGAGGACUGUCGAACGGGUUGCGAUAGUUAUAGUGGUCUGGAGGAGGAGUAACUAUACAAUCGUUUAGCACCGAAUUUGCAGGGCUGUUCUGAGGGGCGUUUUUCUGAGCAAAGGUUGUCAAACUACUUACAUCGCUGCGAAGACCCGUUGCAGAUAUGUUCUCCCAUUUCAGAGAUUCCCACACUCGCAUUGCAAUUGGAACAUUUGAUCACGGGCAAUAGCCCGCCUGUAGGCAGGUCCGCCUCCAUUUUAAAGGAUAUCUGGAUAACUCAUAUGCAGCAGGAGACUGAGGAAUCCCGGUUACACCUUUCCUGGUUCACGCUUUGAUCUCCUUUGCUUUUUGCUCCCUUUGUUAUACGGGUCGGUAAGAAUAGUGAUGUUGUUCCUGGGCAAAAUUGACAGCCAAUUCCUGUGUCCAGGAUAUGUUUGCGGGGAUUUAAUUAGUAGGAGGUAUUCCAGACAACAAUUGCCGGAGAAUCCAAAGUGCGAGUUAAGGGGAUCUGAUUUCGGGGUGUGUUUAGGAUGAGGAGAUCGGUGAUAGAUGCGAUAAUAGCAGAGUAUAUAGUUUAACAGAAACAACAAUGACAAUAGGUAAAGAUGUGUAUUAUAUAUUAAAACGAGGAUAUUGAAUUGAGUCAGUGAUUAGUCUCUGUAUGAGCAAAAUGGAUGUAGUUCAACGAAGAUAGAGCAGGAGAGGAUGAUUGAGAUUGAGAUUG
rnacentral:sRNA from 2 species